AGAGGCGGGGACGCGCGCUGGUCUAUUUUUGGGCAUCCGGAUGGCGACUGCGGGAAAUCGAGUUCUCAUGCUGGGGCGAAAGGACCGUCCGCCCGCUCGGAAGAGGCGAAUCUCCCACGGCAGACGUCUGGGUGUGCGAAUGCCAGUUGAGCGGGGCCUCGAGGACGCGUCACACACAGCGAGGAUUUGAGGAGGGAAGCGCCUUCCAGGAAAAGAAAAUUUGGACAUAGACUCAUACAGAGGAAAGAUGAUGUGAGGACAGACAUCUAAGCCACGGAGCAAGGCCCUUCCCUCACAGCUCUCAGAAGGAACCAAACCUGUUGACAUCUGUUUUUUUUUUUUUGAGAUGGAGUCUAGCUCUGUCGCCCAGGCUGGAGUGCAGUAGCACGAUCUCAGCUCACUGCAGCCUCCGCCUCCCAGGUUCAAGCAAUUCUCCUGCCUCAGCCUCCCGAGUAGCUGGGAUUACAGGCACCCGCCACCACGCCCGGCUAAUUUUUAUAUUUUUAGUAGAGACAGGGUUUCACCACGUUGGCCAGGCUGGUCUCGAACUCCUGACUUCAAGUGAUCUGCUCUCCUUGGCCUCCCAAAGUGCUGGGAUCACAGGCGUGAGCCACUGCACCCGGCCCCUGUUGACAUCUUGAUCUCAGACUUCACCCGGCCCCCGAUGACAUCUUGAUCUCAGACUUCUGGUCUCCAGAAUGGUGGGAAAAUAAAUUGCUGUUUAAUCUA
ensembl:lncRNA novel transcript